rnacentral:rRNA from 1 species
CCUACGGGAGGCAGCAGUGAGGAAUAUUGGUCAAUGGGCGCGAGCCUGAACCAGCCAAGUAGCGUGAAGGAUGACUGCCCUACGGGUUGUAAACUUCUUUUAUAAAGGAAUAAAGUGAGGCACGUGUGCCUUUUUGUAUGUACUUUAUGAAUAAGGAUCGGCUAACUCCGUGCCAGCAGCCGCGGUAAUACGGAGGAUCCGAGCGUUAUCCGGAUUUACUGGGGGUAAAGGGAGCGUAGACGGUGCGCCAAGUCUGGAGUGAAAUGCCGCAGAUUAACUGCGGAACCGCGUUGGAAACUGGCGAACUAGAGUGCGGGAGGGGUAAGCGGAAUUCCUAGUGUAGCGGUGAAAUGCGUAGAUAUUGGGAGGAACACCAGUGGCGAAGGCGGCCUGCUGGACAUUAACUGACGCUGAGGCGCGAAAGCGUGGGGAGCAAACAGGAUUAGAUACCCUAGUAGUC